rnacentral:lncRNA from 1 species
CUCACCAAACUUGAGAGGGCUUAAGGGCCAUAUAUGGUUCUCGAGGACAUGAAGCCAACCCACUAAAGAGCUGACAGGAAUGGUUAACCUUCAGUAGAAUUUCAAAUCUCAUGAUCACUGAAAAACAAAUAACAAAUAAAUCUCUCUAAAUAAGGGAAGGAUAAUGACCAUAUCUCUCCAGAUAAGUCAAGGUUAACCACCUGAUUCUCUUUCCUCGUACAGUUCUUCAGUCUCUACCCAUAAAUAAAAAGGACCCUCCAUGUGUGAAAUCUUC